AAGAGAUUAGUUAAACUAUAACAUUAGUAUGUCAUGCUAAAAUCAUUAAUAUUAAUAUUUCUUA
rnacentral:tRNA from 1 species